GACUGUUUCUCGCCAACACAGAUGAGGUCCAGUGUCCCCGCCCCCUUCCUCUGAACAUUUCAGCGAGAUUUACCUGACAUACUGCGCUGUAGGCGUUCGAGUGUACAGGCUAAGGACUCGACUCGCGUAUAUCGUGAAAUGAUGGCCACAGGCUUCCACCAUCCGUGACCUGCUGCAGACCCAUAGCCAUCAUCGGAGCAAGAGUCUACUCCUGUUUUUACAAAGGAGAAAACCGAGGCCCAGAGAGGAAGAAGACUUGCCAAGGUCACACAGCCGGUAUUCCGUGGAGCUGCAAUUCCAGUCAUGGAACGGGAAGAGAGUUGAGGUGGUCCUGGCUGGGGGUUUAACUGGUCUGCAGGUCUGUGUGUUCUUCAGAGAGCCCCCCACCCAAGUCUGGAGGGCUGUGCAUUCUACCUAGAGCUGCUCUUGCCCCCAACCCCCCUGCAAAGGCCAAGACCAGGCCAGAGGGCAGUGGCCCCACCCCAGCCGGAGCUGGACACACCCUCUGGACACAUCCCUGAGCUUCCAGGAAAAGACCUUGCACAGCUGCUUUGGUAAAGAUCCUCCCUGGGCUGGGCUCAGGAAGUUCUGGGGACAACUGGUCUGCCUCCCAGGCCCGGCAACCUCCCCAGCCAGUGAAGCACCCCGCCCCCAGCCCAAGUGACUUCCAGCCUCUAGAACUGGAGUCCUCCCUGGCCCUGGCCCUGGGAAACUGUACCUUGUGGCUCAUCCCACACAAAUUCCAGCCCUGCCCUGGCUGCCCAGAAAGUGACCUUUGCCCUGAGGAGGAGGCAACAGAAAAGGUGCUUUCACUAGAGAACAAAGGCCAACCGGGGUCCCCACCCCCCUCCGCGAAUAUUUCAGCGCAAGGUUGGGGCAGAUGGAGGUGUCUGGGGCUGACUGGAAGGGCAGGGGGUGCCUGGGCAUCCUGACCCUAGAAGGGGGCAUCCCUGCAUUACAGCGACCACAACUCUGGAACUUAAAGAUAGUCCCGGUGUCUAGGCAUGCUUGGUACUAUUCCAACCACAUAAGGGUCUCGCUGAAUUCCCACAAGCAUCCCAAGAAGGAGAUACUAAAUCUAUCCUUCCAUUUUACUGAGGAGGAGACUGAGGCCCAGAGGAUUGAGUGAUCUCACCCAGGCAGUAACUAGAGUGACUGGGAUUCAAACCCAGAGCUACGACUCCAUGCCUCAAAUCUGGAGAUUCUUGAGGGGAUGUCUCCAUCACGGAUAUAUCUCCAUAUCAACUCCCUGUGGCAGACGGUAUUCUCUGAAGAUGGCCACCACCAUAUCUCCCAUGACAGUGACAGUCCUCUCACUGAGGGGCGGGCCCAUGAGCGAGCUGGUAACUACAGCAGAAGUGACGGAUUAUGACUUCCAAGGCUAAGGUUCUAUAAAAGAUAACAAGACUUCCACCUGGUUCUCUUGGGAUGCUGCUCACUCUUGGGAACCAGCUGCCAUAUUCUGAGGAAGCCCAGGCCACCUGAAUGGUCAUGGAUAGGUGUUCAGUGGACAACUCCAGCUGAGGUCCCAGCUGACAGUCAGCAUCAACGGCCAGACGUAGGCCUUCUAGAGAACUCCAGCCUCUGUCAGGGUUUGACUGCAACUGUUUGAGAAAUCCUAAACAGGAACCACCCCAGCUGAGCUCAGGUGAUCGCCCCCCGCCCCAGAGCCUUGAGAGAUAGAUAAUAAGAUUUGGGGUGAUUUGUGGGAUGCAGCAUCAAUAACCAGGACACUCUCCA